rnacentral:rRNA from 1 species
GACGAACGCUGGCGGCGUGCUUAACACAUGCAAGUCGAACGGAAAGGCCCUGCUUUUGUGGGGUGCUCGAGUGGCGAACGGGUGAGUAACACGUGAGUAACCUGCCCUUUACUUUGGGAUAACUUCAGGUAACUGGGGCUAAUACCGGAUAGGAUCUCCUGCUGCAUGGUGGGGGUUGGAAAGUUUCGGCGGUUGGGGAUGGACUCGCGGCUUAUCAGCUUGUUUGUGGGGUAGUUGCUUACCAAGGCUUUGACGGGUAGCCGGCCUGAGAGGGUGACCGGCGAAAAGGGGACUGAGAUACGGACCAGAGUCCUACGGGAGGCAGCAGUGGGGAAUAUUGCACAAUGGGCGGAAGCAUGAUGAAGCAACGCAGCGUGCGGGAUGACGGCCUUCGGGUUGUAAACCGAUUUAGAAUGUGACGAAGCGUGAGUGACGGUAAUGGGUAAAGAAGCACCGGCUAACUACGUG